GGCCAUCGAGAAAGUGGGGUCCAGCUCCGGCAGGACCAACAAGCCCGUCGUGAUCGCUGAUUGCGGUCAAUUGUCUUAGAUUUGAUCAUGAUAAUGAUCGCCAUCAUCACGAGCCGUCUGAUCGCGAUCGUGAUGAUGAUUAUGUUAUCUAUUAUUAUGUGGGCGUGUCUGUAGGACUUUUAAUCUUUAUCUAAUUUUCCUGCUAUGUUACUUGUUCGGGUCGGAUCGGGUCUCCGGUGGUGGUUCUUGAUGAACUGUUUUUUAUGUCUUUCUAUGAGCUGCCUU
rnacentral:lncRNA from 1 species